rnacentral:rRNA from 1 species
ACAGCUCAAAUUUGAAAUCUGGCCCCCCUCCCCGGGGGCCCGAGUUGUAAUUUGCAGAGGAUGCUUUUGGCGAGGCGCCUUCCGAGUUCCCUGGAACGGGACGCCACAGAGGGUGAGAGCCCCGUCUGGUCGGACGCCGAGCCUCUGUAAAGCUCCUUCGACGAGUCGAGUAGUUUGGGAAUGCUGCUCUAAAUGGGAGGUAUAUGUCUUCUAAAGCUAAAUACCGGCCAGAGACCGAUAGCGCACAAGUAGAGUGAUCGAAAGAUGAAAAGCACUUUGAAAAGAGGGUUAAACAGUACGUGAAAUUGUUGAAAGGGAAGCGCUCACGACCAGACUUGGGCCCGGCGGAUCAUCCGGCGUUCUCGCCGGUGCACUUCGCCGGGCUUCCAGGCCAGCAUCAGUUCGCGCCGGGGGACAAAGGCUCGGGGAACGUAGCUCCCCCGGGAGUGUUAUAGCCCCCUGCGCAAUACCCUGGGGCGGACUGAGGUUCGCGCGUCUCGCAAGGAUGCUGGCGUAAUGGUCGUCAGCGACCCGUCUUGAACCACGGAC